rnacentral:rRNA from 1 species
AAUAGAUACCCGGGUAGUCCACGCCGUAAACGAUGGAUGCUAGCUAUUGGGGGGAAUCGACCCCCUCCGAAGCGAAGCUAACGCGUUAAGCAUCCCGCCUGAGUAGUACGAGCGCAAGCUUAAAACUCAAAGGAAUUGACGGGGACCCGCACAAGCGGUGGAGCGUGUGGUUUAAUUCGAUGGUAAACGAAGAACCUUACCAAGGUUUGACAUCCCGGUAGCCGUUCUCCGAAAGGAGAAUUUCAUUUAGUUGGACCGGUGACAGGUGAUGCAUGGCCGUCGUCAGCUCGUGUCGUGAGAUGUUGGGUUAAGUCCCGCAACGAGCGCAACCCUUAUGAUUUAGUUGGAUUUUUCUAAACAGACUGCCCUGGUAACAGGGAGGAAGGAGGGGUGAUGUCAGGUCAGUACUUCCCUUACACCUUGGGCGACACACGCGCUACAAUGGCCGGUACAAUGGGCAGCUAAGCCGCGAGGUGGAGCAAAUCCCAUCAAAGCCGGUCCCAGUUCGGAUUGCAGGCUGAAACCCGCCUGCAUGAAGCCGGAAUCGCUAGUAACC